UGAGGAGGAAACCAGACUCACUUUAACAGAUUCUUUUUUCUCGUUUGAACUUGAGGUUCAUUUAAAGGUUUUGAGCCUGUUUAUUUCCCGGCUACAGCUUAGUUCACUUUAUUAAUUCAUGUAUGUUUAAACAGAGUACAUUUAUUUAUGUACUGCUGGUUUUAAAAACAUUAAUUCCCAAAGUUCCUCUCAUGGAUCACAGCUCGCUAUGACAGGCUUAUGAUUCUCAGCAUGUAUAUAAUAUAUUUAUGUUUGCCUGGUUCUGUUAACUUUAACUCUUCUUUAUGGUGAGCAUAAGGGAUGGUAAGGGAAAUGGAGAACACUGAAAUGGGCGUUACACCCUUUAGUCAACCAGGAAAAGCGACUGGAGAAACUUCUGAAGUGUUUCAGACAUGAGGGGUCACUGUACAGUCAGAGUAUCAUCACAUGCUGUGGCCUCUGCAAUCACCAGAUCAGGGUUUAAAAAAAAAAGGUUGUUGUGAGGCUCCUUCCUCGACUCUUUGGCUCAACAGCAUUUACAAUUUUUAACCCUACCCCUCGUUUUCAAGUGUAAAAUGUCCUCUUUAAGACUUCCAUAUGUCGUCAGCAGACAUCAGCUGUAUUUAUGUCAACAGUUCCAAAACGCCCUUCAGCUGUGGAGAUUUCUUUCGUAUUUUACUGACAGUCCUGGUUUUAUAACAACUCACAGCAUCAGUCGAGUCAUCAACAGAGAAAAGGGACACAGCGUCUUUACCUGGCUGCUAACCAGCGCUCCCAUCCUGCCAGUCUGUACUGACAUUAGAGGAGCAGCAGCUUCACUGGUGGACUUCAGGUGUCAAUCACAGAAGGGAAACUCUACAUUAAUAGGAGCCGUCUCGCACAAAUCAGCAGGACAGACAUCAGUGGGCUACAGAGGAUGUUUUAUUCUUGUUAUAAAGAAAAGACCACAAUGCAGUGAAACAACAGCUUUCAUAAUCAGGCCUCCAGACACCAGUGUGGAACAACUGGACCUUCAUGCUGGACUUUCCUCUUUGUGUAUUAACUCUACACUGUCACAUGCUUUUAAUAGUGUUAUAUCCUGACUGUUUAUCUCAUUUCUUUUGAGACAUUCAUGAUGAUGAUGGACUAAACUAACUAAACUAAAUCAUAUUAGAACAGUUUCUUUGGAAAGUUUUCUCUCUACAUGCGUUCAGAGUUUAUCAGCCUGGCAACGACAAACCUCUCACAGAUCCUGCCCACUGUCACUUGAGAUAGAUGGUGUCAUGGUGGAAAGAUGCGCCAAACUUAGCUGAUUUUCAUGUUUGCCAUGUGUUGCUGUGUGUUCUCGGGGCUCUCCGCUGCAGCGCACCCUCUCUACGAGAUCCCCGCUCUGUUUCUGUCUGCUGUAAGCUGCAUGUCUAACAGCGUGAAGAUGUUUGGCUGAAGAGCAUCCUUUCUUCAGCCGGUAUACAGUACAACACGUGUCAGAACACACACACAUGCACACACACAUGCACACACACACGCACACACACACACACACACACACACACACACACACACACACACACACCCUGCCUUUGUACAAGAAGUGAUAAAAGCCCAAACCAACACGUGCAGAUGUACCGACAUGACAUGCUUGUUAGCGUGUUAGCUUGUUAGUAGAUACAUAUACUGUAUCUUCACACACAGCAGGCAGACGCAUCCACACACACACACACACACACACACACACACACACACACACACACACACACACACCGUCACGUGAAUCUGCAUGUGAGUUCAGAGACACAAGGGAAGAGAAAUGCAAAUGCUCCUCUCUUCAAGUCAGUGACAUGGCAUCCACGGGGAGAUGAAUGUGUGUGUGUGUGUGUGUGUGAGAGGACGAGGCAGAUAGCGGAAGGCAGCGAUUUGGAGAGCGAGAUGGCGCUGAUUCACUGUGUCUCCCUCUGCCUCGCGCACAUCGCUGUGAAAGAACAUGCUUGUCAGGCAGCGAAAAUAGAUGACACAGUCUCGGGAGGAUGUGGCGACGCCAACAAGCUCUCUGUUUACUUAUGUUUCUCAUUUCUCUUUUUCCAAGCGUAACGUGCCUGCACGCCUCUGCCGUCCUCCAAGAAGAAUGCCAGCUAUGCCGCAUAUUUCCUUUAUUCUCAAUUCCCCCCUUCUCUCCCUCCUCGUCUCGUCGAGUCCCAUGCUGCUUUUCUUGCAUAGUCAGGUUGCAAGUCGUGUGAGAGCAGGAUUUGUGGGAGCACAUGCGCGCUGGCGAGACACCGUGACUGACCUGAUUGUGAGACGAAGAGAGAGGGAGAAAGAGACGAAGGCUGACACCAUACGGGAACACUGUCUCUGCUGCAGUUGGUUUCCCAGAUUGUUUUGUUCUAAAUACAUUCAUAAGACACAUUAUUCAUAUGUUGUGGCUUACUGGAGGUGGUUUGACAUUGUGAGAAGGAGGAUGUUGAAUUAUCAAGAUGUCUGGAAUAAUAUCCUGAGCCUUGAUGUAAAAAUAGAGAAGCUGCAGCAGUCCAGAGGCCAGAGGCAUAAAACUCACCGCUCCAGAGAAGAAGUGCAGUUUCAUCAGUCGUGUUGCGUCACUGAGGCUCUCCAACAGCAGCAGAACAACUGCGGUUAACUCCAACCAUCAAGUACAGCAAAUCACUAAUUCAUGGAGAUCUAGUUUAUUCUACUAAAACUAGGCUUUUAGGCUCCACAUCACAUUGAACCCAUCCAAAAUAUCAACCAGCUAAAAAAGAUCUUUAAGAUUUUUUCAUAAAACGUCCAUCACAACCCGAGAAAUGAGCAACAAUGUCAGUAAAUGGAAAAAGCCGAGAUAACAUUCUUCCAUCGGAUCUGCACCAAAAGUUAAAACUGCUGUAAGCUAUAUCUUGUUUUUAAAUCAAAAUAAGACUACAGACUAUACGAGACUGUACCGACUUUAGCGAUGAAAUAUGCAGUGAAAAAAUGCAGAUGAAAAAUGAAGUUGCACUGAAGAAAAGAAACAUCUUGCAUGUGUGUUGACACAGAGAGGAGAGAGAGAGGACGCUAGCUAAAAUAACAAGAAGAACUGCGGCAGCUUUAACCAAAAUGUAAAUUGUCAGAUCAUAGGUUUCUCUAUCUGGAGCUGCACCGAAAGUUAAUGGGGUCUAUUUUGGGCUGAGACCCGUCCUCCAUCCCUGUUGGGUGGAAAUCUAAAAAUCCAAAUUCCAAGUCAACAAAGACGGGCAGUGAAACGAAAGAGUCAGAACUGCAGAACAGAAAGAAAAGAGAAAAGAACUGAAGAAACCAGAGAGACACGAGGAGACAGAUGAGACGUGGACGAACCAGCAAAGACUGAGGAGAACACAGGUGGUGAUGAACUGAUGGAGCACAGGUGAGGAGCAGUAAGGGCGGGAAAACAGACAAAGGAAGGAAGUAGAGAGUGAAACAUGACAGGUGAGGAUAUAAUUACCAAAAUAAAACAGGAAAUAACAAAAAAUCCAAACUGUGACAAAUGAUCUUCAGAAUGACUCAAAUAUGAAAACAAACAUUAAUUAGAUUCAUCACUUAUGAAUAUAUAUGUUUAAAUUAAGACGAUGAGGGAUAUAAAUCGUUAAGUCUUCUUGAGUUGCUCGAACAUGAAGCUGGUGCGUUUUAAUUCACCUGCAUCAGUUGAACCCAACGAGUAACUUUAAUUGUGUUCAUUCUUCACAAUAACUCUGCAGCUCGUUCUGCCGCUGCUCCUCAUCACUCCGCUCUUUAUCUCUGUGCAGUCUACCAUUCAUAAUUUACUUCUAAUAAUUCCAGUUGCUCCCACUACUCCAUCUGUCCUUGAGCUACAGCCUCUGUCUUUUCUUAUUGCAGGUCCACUCCUGGAUAUUUUUUGUACUGAGCCUGUAGCAACAAUCAGAUGAAGGUGGUGGUGACUCAGGCCAAAAUCAUCAGAGAUAUACAAUAUUCUCACGAGGGAUGCAGCGAUCCAACCUCCUCUCUGCUGAUCCCAAUACCUCGACUCAGAGCUUCCACAGAUCCCACGUGUCCUGACAAAUAACACGUCUCCAGCUGCUUCAGUUGUUCAGGAGAAAGCUGCGGUUUAUGAG